rnacentral:rRNA from 1 species
GAUAACACUUAGAAAUAGGUGCUAAUACCGCAUAAGCGCACGGCUCCGCAUGGGGCAGUGUGAAAAACUCCGGUGGUAUACGAUGGAUCCGCGUCUGAUUAGCUAGUUGGCGGGGUAACGGCCCACCAAGGCAGCGAUCAGUAGCCGGCCUGAGAGGGUGGACGGCCACAUUGGGACUGAGACACGGCCCAAACUCCUGCGGGAGGCAGCAGUGGGGAAUAUUGCACAAUGGGGGAAACCCUGAUGCAGCGACGCCGCGUGAGUGAAGAAGUAUCUCGGUACGUAAAGCUCUAUCAGCAGGGAAGAAAAUGACGGUACCUGACUAAGAAGCCCCGGCUAACUACGUGCCAGCAGCCGCGGUAAUACGUAGGGGGCAAGCGUUAUCCGGAUUUACUGGGUGUAAAGGGAGCGUAGACGGCAGCACAAGUCUGGAGUGAAAUCCCGGGGCUUAACCCCGGAACUGCUUUGGAAACUGUGCGGCUGGAGUGCAGGAGGGGUAAGCGGAAUUCCUAGUGUAGCGGUGAAAUGCGUAGAUAUUAGGAGGAACACCGGUGGCGAAGGCGGCUUACUGGACUGUAACUGACGUUGAGGCUCGAAAGCGUGGGGAGCAAACAGGAUUAGAUACCCUGGUAGUCCACGCCGUAAACGAUGAUUACUAGGUGU